rnacentral:rRNA from 1 species
UACGGGGGGAGCAAGCGUUGUUCGGAUUUACUGGGCGUAAAGGGCGCGUAGGCGGUCAGCAAAAGUCAGUUGUGAAAUCUCCGGGCUUAACUCGGAAAGGUCAACUGAUACUGUGCGACUAGAGUGCAGAAGGGGCAACUGGAAUUCUCGGUGUAGCGGUGAAAUGCGUAGAUAUCGAGAGGAACACCUGCGGCGAAGGCGGUUCUCUGGGCAUUACCUGACGCUGAGGAGCGAAAGUGUGGGGAGCGAACAGG